CGACCGGCACAGUCCUCGGCUCCUUGAGUUAUUUUGAUCCAAGAGAGGGAAUGUUGGACAGUUGUUGACACAGAUUUCACAACAGACAAAUACAACAGACCCAACUGCGAUCCGGACACAUGUGCUCAGAGGGCUUACAAUCAUCCUGGGGGACAACCCCACAAACUUCUUCAAAGCAGGCUUUGAGUCUGAUGAUGAGUCAUUCCGUGACCUUGACAUCGGGAUACUACUCGUUGAGCGUGAAGAUGCUGUGGCCACAUCUUCCCAUCAUCUCAGUCCAGCCUCGUUGAAAAUCAUCAUUGAGGGAGAAGUUGUGAUGAGAGACAUUGAAGAUCUGCCAAAAGCAAUGUGCAUUCUGUUUGGACUCACAUAUGCACUCCAUCUUAACUACCCUAAGACAAUGAAGCUAACAUUUCUGUUCAUCCAGCAGGUAUUGCUCUCAUUAGGCCACAGUGACCUAAAACCAAAGCUACAGACUUUG